rnacentral:rRNA from 1 species
AUGUCGAUGGAGAUCGAGGAGGAGGACUCCGGCGAGACGGCGCCGGAGAUGGAGGCGCCCGGCGUGAGCACGGUGGCCAUCGCGGUGAGCGGGAGCAGGAGCAGCAGGCACGCGCUCAAGUGGGCCCUCGACAAGUUCGUGCCCGGCGGCAGGGUCCUCUUCCGGAUCCUCCAUGUCCGCCCGCCCAUCACCAUGGUGCCCACUCCAAUGGGCAAUUACAUCCCGGUGUCGCAAGUACGCGACGAUGUGGCGUCGGCGUACAGGGAAGAGCUGGAAUGGCAAGCGAGGAACAUGUUGCUCCCUUACAAGAAGAUGUGUGCUCAGACACAGGUGGAAGCUGAAGCUGUUUUACUUGAAUCUGAUGACGUGCCUGCUGCUAUAAGCGAGGAAAUCGACAAAUUCAACAUUGGCAAGCUGGUCUUGGGCUCUUCGUCCAGAAGCAUAUUCCGAAGGAAGCUCAAAGGAAGCAAGACUGCAACCAAAAUCUCUGAAUGCAUUCCAAGCUUCUGUACAGCAUACGUUAUUUCAAAGGGCAAACUGUCAUUCGUGCACUCAGCUACAUCUGAUGCCUGCGAAACACCGAAGACCAUAUCUUCUUCAACUGUUUCUUCUCCUAGCUCCAGAAGCCUUUCCAGUGCACCCUCAGAGUGCGCUGAGAGAAAUGGAGCAGCAGCUGUAUUGUUCCGCCAGUCUUCUCUGUCAUCGCAACGUGAUCACGCACUCGCAAACAUAAACAGGAGAGCUAGCCCUUCAGGCAGUGGAGGCAGCGAGAUCUCUUACCAUGCUGACACAACCCUGAUGACAAAUUCACACUCGAUCGCAUCGGGAGCACAACUCAGUAGCAGCAGCAGCAGUGGGGAUUCAGUUUACAAGAGCUUCCGAAGAGAUAGCUCCCCAGACAUCCCUGACCUGCAGGCAGAAGUUUCAGAAAUUGCAACAAGCCUGAAGCAUUCUCAUGACCAGGAUGACCUGACGCUUCAAAUUGAGAGUAUGAAGGUCAAACUGCAACACCUUCAGAAGCUUCACGAGUGUGCUCAUACUGAACCGGUUGACUCCACUCAGAAAUUACACAACAACUUGGGGAUCCACCGUGUCGAGCACGAAGUCAAACUUCGAGAAAUUGACCUGACAGAAGAAAUAGUGAGGAGAUUGCUAAGGCGAAUGGAGAGAGAAGAAGAGGAGGUGGCCGAAAGAGAAGCUCAACCUAUCCAAAGCUCUUCUGGACAGAAAUCAACAGAGGGCGAUGGUGAUCACCAAAAUGCUGGAGAGAUCAACACAGGACUGAAAAACGCCGGACGAUUUUUAACCGAGUAUAAUAGGUACUCAUGGGAGCAUAUCCAAGCGGCGACUUCAUCGUUUUCAAGUGAUCUUGUGAUUGGUAAGGGGACAUAUGGAACAGUCUACAAGGCUAAGUUUCAGCAUACUGUUGCAGCAGUGAAAGUUCUCAACUCCCUUGAAGGUUUUGGAACUCAGCAGUUACAGCAAGAGCUGGAGGUCCUGGGCAAGAUCCGGCACCCUCACCUGCUGCUGCUGCUGGGCGCGUGCCCGGAGCGCGGCUGCGUGGUGUACGAGUACAUGGAGAACGGCAGCCUGGAUGAUGCUCUCCACCACCGCCGGAACGGCACACGGCCGCUCGCCUGGUACGACCGCGUCCGCGUCGCCUGGGAGGUGGCCACCGCCGUCGCCUUCCUCCACAAUGCCAGACCGGACCCCAUCAUCCACCGUGACCUCAAGCCGGCCAACAUCCUGCUCGACCGGAACCUCUCCAGCAAGGUCGGUGACGUCGGCCUCUCAACGGCGCUGCUCCACCACUCGGGCGCCGGAGGUGGAGCAGGCCAGCAGCAGUCCACGAUGGUGAGGAACACGACGCCCGUGGGCACGUUCUGCUACAUCGACCCGGAGUACCAGCGGACGGGCGCCGUGUCGGCCAAGUCAGACGUGUAUGCGCUCGGCGUGGUAAUGCUGCAGCUGCUCACAGGGCGGACAUCGCCGCUGGGGCUCGCCCACGCCGUGGAGACCGCGCUGGAGGAAGACGGCGGUGACUCCUUCGCGGAGAUGCUGGACGCAACCGCCGGGCAGUGGCCGCCGGAGGAGGCGCGGGAGCUGGCAGCGCUGGCGCUGCAGUGCGCAGAGAUGCGGCGCAGGGACCGGCCAGGGCUGCGCGAGCACAUCCUCCCAGUGCUGGAGAGGAUUAAGGACGUUGCAGCCAGAGCCGCCAGGGAGACAAAGGCCCUUCUCCUCCGGACAGCAUCAUCGUCAGCGGCGCCGGGCCACUUCCUCUGCCCCAUUCUUCAGGAAAUCAUGGAGGACCCAUGCGUCGCCGCCGACGGUUACACCUACGACCGGAAGGCGAUCGAGACAUGGGUGAGCAUGAAGGACAAGUCGCCGAUGACCAACCUCCGGCUGCCAAGCAAGAGCCUCAUCCCCAACCACUCGCUCCGGUCGGCCAUCAUAGACUGGAGCUCCAAGAACAGAUGA